CCUACGGGGUGCAGCAGUGGGGGAUAUUGCACAAUGGGGGAAACCCUGAUGCAGCGACGCCGCGUGAGUGAAGAAGUAUUUCGGUAUGUAAAGCUCUAGCAGCAGGGAAGAAAAUGACAGUGCCUGUCCAAGAAGCCCCGGCUAACUACGUGCCAGCAGCCGCGGUAAUACGUAGGGGGCAAGCGGUAACCGGAUUUACUGGGUGUAAAGGGAGCGUAGACGGUUUUGUAAGUCUGGAGUGAAAGCCCGGGGCUCAACCCCGGGACUGCUUGGGAAACUGUGUAACUGGAGUACAGGAGGGGCAGGCGGAAUUCCUGGGGUAGCAGUGAAAUGCGUAGAUAUCAGGAGGAACACCGGCGGCGAAGGCGGCCUGCUGGACUGAAACUGACGUUGAGGCUCGAAAGCGUGGGGAGCAAACAGGAUUAGAUACCCGAGUAGUC
rnacentral:rRNA from 1 species